GAUGAACGCUGGCGGCGUGCCUAACACAUGCAAGUCGAACGGAGCCUUAACCAAAGAAGCAGCCAGCUUGCUGGAAGCGGAAGAGGGAAAGGCUUAGUGGCGGACGGGUGAGUAACGCGUGGGUAACCUGGCCCAUACAGGGGGAUAACACUUAGAAAUAGGUGCUAAUACCGCAUAACAACAGAAAGCGCAUGCUAUCUGUUUGAAAACCAAGGUGGUAUGGGAUGGACCCGCGUCUGAUUAGCUGGUUGGCGGGGUAAAGGCCCACCAAGGCGACGAUCAGUAGCCGGCCUGAGAGGGUGGACGGCCACAUUGGGACUGAGACACGGCCCAA
rnacentral:rRNA from 1 species